GAUUUUCCUAUAUUCCCUUAGGGAAGCUGAAGGCAAGGUCUCAGUUGUUUCUCUCUUUUUUUUUUUUAAAGUACUGGGGAUUGAACUCAUGACCUCAUGUUUACCAAGCAGGCACUUAAGCCACUGAGCUAAAUCUCCAGCCCUCAGUUGUUUUCCUGGGUUGACAACAUCUAUCUCUACUGCAGGAAUUUCCCCAGUUGAGUGUAGGUCCUUAGACAUACCUUACCAGGUGGCUCCCAGCCACUUGGGGUUAUUGGGCGAACCCCAAGUAGACCCGGAGGGACCUUCCUGAGGAUCCUCUAGUGAUGGGGGAUGCUGCACAGUCCUCCCAGUCUCCAAGUGAUGUGCACAGGCUGCUCAAGGGGAUAGAGAUCUCUCCGGGGGCUUUUGGCUCUCAAGGCAGAGUGCAGGCAGCUCCAGGCCACUUGGGGGUCCAUAGUUUUAACUUUCAACAUAUCCUAAAUUCUGACAACACAAAGGAGAUUUAAAAACAUAUGCUACUUAAUUAAAACUUUUCUUUUUUUCUAGGUUACAGUUCCUCUCAGUCAUCUUAUCAGUGCCUUCCAUUCACCAAAACCCGUGACUGUUUCAGUCAGUGCAUCAGUUUCUCCAAACAAGCAUCGAGAUGUAGUUCCAGAACAUGAGGCUGCUGGCAGUGAGCCUGCACUUAAUUUAAGGGACCUUGGAUUGUCUGAAUUAAAAGUUGGACAGAUUGACCAAUUGGUAGAAGAUCUACUUCCUGGAUUUUACAGAGGCAAAAGUAUUUCUUCGCACUGGCACACAUCUCAUAUCUCUGCACAGUCCUUCUUUGAAAAUAAAUAUGGUCACUUAGAUAUGUUUAGUGCUUUACGUUCCACUUGCUUGUUUCGACAACAUCCAAGAACUCUUCAAAGAAUUUGUUCAGAUCUUCAUUGCUGGCCAGUUUUUAUACAGUCUCGGGGUUUUAAAACUUUGAAAUCGAGGACACGACGUCUGCAGUCCACCUCUGAAAGAGUAGCAGAAACACAGAAUGUAGCACCAUCCUUUGUGAAGGGGUUUCUUUUGCGGGACAGAGGAUCAGAUGUUGAGAGUUUGGACAAACUCAUGAAAACGAAAAACAUACCUGAAGCUCAACAAGAUGCAUUUAAAACUGGUUUUGCAGAGGGUUUUCUGAAAGCUCAAACAUUAACACAAAAAAACAAUGAUUCUUUAAGGCGAACUCGUUUAAUUCUUUUUGUUCUGCUUCUGUUUGGCAUUUAUGGACUCUUAAAAAAUCCAUUUUUAUCUGUCCGCUUCUGGACUACUACCGGGCUUGAUUCUGCAGUAGAUCCUGUUCAGAUGAAAAAUGUCACUUUUGAGCACGUUAAAGGACAGAUGCAAGCCAUCCAACAGAUUCCAGUGUCUGUGACUAAAAACCAAGUGCAAAAAUUUCUAGGAGCCAUAGGACUGAUGCAGAGUUUGGGACCCUGGCAGAGGCCUGUUGCCUAUCUUUCCAAGAGACUUGAUUAUGUGGCAGCCAGAUGGCCACCUUGUCUGUGGGUGUUUUCCUCGGUAGUCAUCCUGAUAGAGGAGACACAAAAACUGACUUGUGGACCAAAAUUCUUAAAUUGUCUCCUCCUAUUCGCUGGAGACUCUCAUCAAGCCUCCACCGGACCAAUGGCUGCCCAACUCCCAAGUCAUGCAUUAUCAGGCAUUACUUCUAGAUCUGACUACCAUCAGUUUCAAGGGGACAGCGCUUUCAACCCUGCUACUCUGCUGCCUGAUGAUGCCCCUCCUUGCCCUUCCACAUCUGUAUUUGGG
rnacentral:lncRNA from 1 species